rnacentral:rRNA from 1 species
UACGUGGGGUGCAAGCGUUGUCCGGAAUUAUUGGGCGUAAAGAGCUCGUAGGCGGUCUGUCGCGUCGGCUGUGAAAUCCCGAGGCUCAACCUCGGGUCUGCAGUCGAUACGGGCAAACUAGAGUAUUGCAGGGGAGACUGGAAUUCCUGGUGUAGCGGUGAAAUGCGCAGAUAUCAGGAGGAACACCGGUGGCGAAGGCGGGUCUCUGGGCAAUAACUGACGCUGAGGAGCGAAAGCGUGGGGAGCGAACAGG